CACCCGUGAGUCUCUCUCUGGGCUGGAUGCUGGGGAGGUGGCCGGAGAUGGAGAAAAUCCCUCCCCUCCAGGCACUGCGGGCCAGAUCUCGCAUGUGUACAUCCCCAAGAAGGUGGAGACCACCCAGGCCAGAGACAGGGAAAAAGGCGUGGAGAAGGGAAAUAGAGGAAAAUAACAGAAUGGGAAGGAUAGAGAUCUCCAAGAAAAUUGGAGAUACCAAAGGAACAUUUCAUGCAAAGAUGGGCACAAUAAAGGACAGAAAUGGUAAGGACCUAACAGAAGCAGAAGAGAUUAAAAGGUGGCAACUAGUGGGAAAGAACCUGCCUGCCAAUGCAGGAGAUGUAAGAGAUGCAGGUUCAAUCCCUGGGUCUG
ensembl:lncRNA